rnacentral:rRNA from 1 species
GCGUUGCUCGGAAUGACUGGGCGUAAAGGGCGCGUAGGCGGAGUGCUUUGUCGGGCGUGAAAUUCCAGGGCUCAACCUUGGGACUGCGUUCGAGACGGGCAUUCUUGAGUUUGGAAGAGGGUCGUGGAAUUCCCAGUGUAGAGGUGAAAUUCGUAGAUAUUGGGAAGAACACCGGUGGCGAAGGCGGCGACCUGGUCCAAGACUGACGCUGAGGCGCGAAAGCGUG